CUCACGUCUGCAGUGCUGCCGUCUCCUGUAACCCUGCAUAUUACCAAGUUGCCUUUCCCCACCUGUAUCCAGUCAUCACACUUCAAAGCACAAAGCGUGUGAUGUCACAGUAACGCAUUCUGUGAUAGGAGGUCAUAUAUAGGAGUGAACCUGACACUCACACAGCCUGAACUGGCUGCCUGUCCUCACGUCUGCAGUGCUGCCAUCUCCUGUAACCCUGCAUGUUUCUAAGCUGCCUAUCCUCACCUGUGCAGUGCUGCUGUCUCCGGUUACCCUGAAAGUUUCUAAGUUGCAUAUCCCCACCUGUAUAGGAGUGAAAUUGACGCUCACACACCCUGAACUGGCUACCUGUCCUCACCUGUGCAGUGCUACCGUCUCCUGUCACCCUGCAUGUAUCCAACUUUAGUUUUCUCCGUUUUUAUGAUGUUCUCGUAAUUUUUAUCCUCAGAUGAGGUUUGAAGUGUCUGUGUGGUGCAGCUGGCCUGGUCUGUCUCUAUACAGUCGAGGCUGCACCCACCUAUAAAAAGGUGGAGGCUCACCAGGACAUGCACACCUCACAAGUUCCUGGCUCUCUCGGCUCGGUUGAAGACGGGUUUCUUCGAGAAGGGGAGGGCAGUGAGGCACAGUCCCCCGCCCCCCGACGCCCCUCGCGAUGCCCCUCCUUCUUCGACUAACCCGCUGCAGAGGAGCCGUGGGAGCCAGGAACUUGUGAGUUUUGUAUGUCCACUCAGGCAUCAUUCAUACCUGGUCUGUAGGAAGUUCCUGUCAGAAGGAGGGGGGCACCGCGAGGGCGUCCAGGGGCGGAAGGCGGUGCCUUAGUGCCUCCCUCCUUCUGACAUUGUAAAAGAACCCUAACUUUAUUUUCUUUUUAAUAGUAAUAUAGAUAUAUAUGUAUAUGUGUGUUUUAU